UGCUCGCUUUGGCAGCAAUAUACUAAAAUUGGAACGAUACAGAGAAGAAUAGCAUGGCCCUUGCACUAGGGUGACAGGCAAAUUUGUGAAACAUUCCAUAUUUUU
rnacentral:snRNA from 1 species